UACGUAGGGGGCAAGCGUUGUCCGGAAUCAUUGGGCGUAAAGCGCGCGUAGGCGGUUCGGUAAGUCGGCUGUGAAAGUCCAGGGCUCAACCCUGGGAUGCCGGUCGAUACUGCCGGACUAGAGUUCGGAAGAGGCGAGUGGAAUUCCCGGUGUAGCGGUGAAAUGCGCAGAUAUCGGGAGGAACACCAAUGGCGAAGGCAGCUCGCUGGGACGUUACUGACGCUGAGACGCGAAAGCGUGGGGAGCGAACAGG
rnacentral:rRNA from 1 species